UUCAUUUGUCCUUGGUAAAAGAAAAGCCAGUAGUAUUUCAGGAUUUUAUUUAUCAACUGGUCAAAAUGAAGGGAUUGAUUGUCGUCGUGGUUUUGGUGACACUGAUGAUUUCAACUGAUGCGUUCCUGAUGCACAGCAGACAACGUUGCCUCUGUCUGAAAACACGGGACCGUGUGAAUUCCAGUAACAUAGUCCAAUCCACCGUUCAUCAGAGGAGUGUAAUGUGUGACCAUGUGGAGAUAGUGGUGCAGUUGAAAAUACCAUCAAAAUAUAUCUGCCUGAAUCCAGACUCUAAAAUGGGCAAGAGAAUACAGACUAAGUGGAACCUGAAGAACUGAGCCAAACAUGAUAACACAAACUAUGUGAUGAUGAUAUAACUGACUGUACUGACCAAAAAGUACAUGUAACUAUGUUGUCUUUCUCUGCAGUUUCAGGUAACUUUACUUGUUCCACUGACAAUGCAAUUAGAAAGUGUAUUUCAGAGCUACAGGGUAAUGCACAAAGCUCGUAACAACAUUCUAGAACAUCUCUGCAAUGACAAGGCUGUAACAACAUUCUAGAACAUCUCUGCUAUGACAAGCCUGUAACAUCAUUCUAGAACAUCUCUGCUAUGACAAGCCUGUAACAUCAUUCUAGAACAUCUCUGCUAUGACAAGCCUGUAACAACAUUCUAGAAGAUCUCUGCUAUGACAAGCCUGUAACAACAUUCUAGAACAUGUAAUGGGAAUUGAAAUGUUUGUGCUUUUCUUAUAACUAAUUUCUGUGUUCAUGCAAGUGACUGACUGAACCAAUUCUCACUAUCAGUAUCUGCAAUUUGGCAGUACGCCCAGACCUUGUUUUGAGAACGAAAGAUAUCUCAGUUUCAAGGUCUCAGCGCAGAGAGAAGAAGCCUCGUGAGGUAUUGGUCUGUCACAUGUUAAGAACCAACAUUUGUCAUUCACAUGAAUGAAACAAAACGGUAAUGAUGAAUUAAUUAUGCUAAAUCAUGCACAUAUAAUUGGUCUGUGUAUAGCUGUAUAUAAGAAAACUGCUGGGACUGCCCCAGGAGAGCUCCUGAUUGACAUGUGUACUAUGGUGCAUUGAUUUGGUUGGAACUUCUCCAGCUUGCUGUCAAUAAACAAUUAUUAAUAUUAA